rnacentral:rRNA from 1 species
UACAGAGGGGGCAAGCGUUGUUCGGAAUUACUGGGCGUAAAGGGCGCGUAGGCGGCCUUCUAAGUCAGACGUGAAAUCCCCCGGCUUAACCUGGGAACUGCGUCUGAUACUGGGAGGCUCGAGUAUGGGAGAGGGAUGUAGAAUUCCAGGUGUAGCGGUGAAAUGCGUAGAUAUCUGGAGGAAUACCGGUGGCGAAGGCGGCAUCCUGGACCAUUACUGACGCUGAGGCGCGAAAGCUAGGGGAGCAAACGGG